rnacentral:rRNA from 1 species
GGAUUAGUGGCGAACGGGUGAGUAACACGUGAGUAACCUGCCCUUGACUCUGGGAUAAGCGCUAGAAAUGGCGUCUAAUACCGGAUACGAGCUUCAGCCGCAUGGCUAGGAGUUGGAAAGAAUUUUGGUCAAGGAUGGACUCGCGGCCUAUCAGCUAGUUGGUGAGGUAAUGGCUCACCAAGGCGACGACGGGUAGCCGGCCUGAGAGGGUGACCGGCCACACUGGGACUGAGACACGGCCCAGACUCCUACGGGAGGCAGCAGUGGGGAAUAUUGCACAAUGGGCGAAAGCCUGAUGCAGCAACGCCGCGUGAGGGAUGACGGCCUUCGGGUUGUAAACCUCUUUUAGUAGGGAAGAAGCGAAAGUGACGGUACCUGCAGAAAAAGCACCGGCUAACUACGUGCCAGCAGCCGCGGUAAUACGUAGGGUGCAAGCGUUGUCCGGAAUUAUUGGGCGUAAAGAGCUCGUAGGCGGUUUGUCGCGUCUGCUGUGAAAUCUGGGGGCUCAACCCCCAGCCUGCAGUGGGUACGGGCAGACUAGAGUGCGGUAGGGGAGAUUGGAAUUCCUGGUGUAGCGGUGGAAUGCGCAGAUAUCAGGAGGAACACCGAUGGCGAAGGCAGAUCUCUGGGCCGUAACUGACGCUGAGGAGCGAAAGCAUGGGGAGCGAACAGGAUUAGAUACCCUGGUAGUCCAUGCCGU